ensembl:snRNA U6 U6 spliceosomal RNA
GUACUUGCUUCGGCAGCACAUAUACUAAAAUUGGAACGAUGCAGAGAAGAUUAGCAUGUCCACUGCUCAAGGAUGACAUGCAAAUUCAUGAAGCAUUCCAUAUUAAA